rnacentral:rRNA from 1 species
UACGUAGGGGGGCAAGCGUUGUCCGGAUUUAUUGGGCGUAAAGAGCGUGUAGGCGGCUAGGUAGGUCCGUUGUGAAAACUCGAGGCUCAACCUCGAGACGUCGAUGGAAACCAUCUAGCUAGAGUCCGGAAGAGGAGAGUGGAAUUCCUGGUGUAGCGGUGGAAUGCGCAGAUAUCAGGAGGAACACCGGUGGCGAAGGCGGGUCUCUGGGCAUUACCUGACGCUGAGGAGCGAAAGUGUGGGGGAGCCGAACAGG